GCUGGGCUUGGUGGUGUGUGCCUGUAAUCCCAGCUACUCAGGAGGCUGAGGAAGGAGGAUCACUUGAGCCCAGGAGAUUGUUGAGGCUGCAGUGAGUCGGGAUUGCACCACUGCACUCCAACCUGGGCAACAGAGUGAGACUUUGUCUCAA
rfam:Gorilla gorilla gorilla genomic chromosome, chr1, whole genome shotgun sequence